AGAUGUAACAACAUGUUGAUGGACAUGCUUAGACAGGUUUGAAUUUUACAUGUACAUACUUGUGAAAGCCAGUGGAAAAUGAAAAAUGUGAGUAGUCUUCCCAUGCACCCAUAAAAAGUUUUUCAAGUUCAAAAAAGGAAAUGGAAAUAACAGCGGUUUUCAUAUUUCCAACUUUCAGUCUGUACAUUCAAAUUUCAUUGAUGAUGUUUUACACAUUGCGAGUACUCCAUAGCCUUGUGUUUAAAAUUUUUAGCUUGUUAUACCCCCACAAAACGAAGUUUGGGGGGUGUAUAUAUGAGUGAGCUUGGCGGUCGGUCGAUCUGUUGGUUUUGCAUGGUUUCCGGAUGAUAACUCAAGAAAGGCUUGACCAAUUUAAAUAAUUUUUGGUACACAGGUGUAACAUCAAAAAAUACAGGUCAAAUUUGAAUUUGGGGUCAGUAGGUCAAAGAUCAAGGUCACAGUGACCCUGAACAGUUAAACGGUUUCCGGAUGAUAACUUGAGAAUGAUUGGGCCUAGGAUCAUAAAUUUUGGUACACAGAUGUAACAUCAUGAAAUGCAGGUCAAGUUCGACUUUGAGGUCUGUAGGUCAAAGGUCAAGGUCACAGGGACUCGGAACAGUUAAAUGGUUUCCGGAUGGUAACUUGAGAACGCUUGGGCCUAGGAUCAUAAAUUUUGGUACACAGGUGUAACAUCAUGAAAUACAGGUCAAGUACUACUUUGAGGUCAGUAGGUCAAAGGUCAAGGUCACAGUGACUUGGAACAGUUAAAUGGUUUCCGGAUGAUCACUUGAGAAUGCUUGGGCCUAGGAUCAUGAAAAUUGAUAGGGAGGUUGGUUAUGACUAGCAGAUGAC